rnacentral:lncRNA from 7 species
AGAGCAGGUCUUCAGAAAAGCUCUCCUAGUUUUCGAGAGGUACCUGGAUUUCAAGAGUACCAGGGAUUCUGGCACCGAGGUCAUACAUGAAGACGUGAGAAAGAAGAUGGCCCUUCCUUUAUUUUUCCAUGAUUCUGGGAGCAGCUUUGGCUAAUGGAGGAGGACCUGCGCGCUUGAAAAGGCUGCUCAUAGAGAAUCCCUGCUUCCUCCUGGGCAUGAAGGCUGACUUAUCUACUCACUGCAUCAGUUUCUCCAGGCAGACAGUUCAUUCAUCAAUCAUAUUUACAAGCCCAUUGUCGGACCGGCUGCCAGUGGAGCAUUCUCACACAUUUCAGCUCACAGAAACUGCAAACCAGGGCCGCUCUGCUCAGAUCUCUAAUAUUUCUGAGGAGCCAGAAGGUGCUGACAGCUCAUGGUACGCCUAUCCCAGGCAAGUGCAAGUGCCUCGACGUCCAUCUAUCUGCGGUUACUGCUGAGGGGUACAAUUACAGAGCACAUUUACCCUCUGCGAAGGAAUCCUCCCUGGAGAGGUUAGAAACGGGGAAUAAACAGCGCGUUGCAGCUGGGGGUCUGCAAAACGAGCUUCAGAAUAAUCACCCAAGCGGACUUUUUGAGUGAGCUUCUGCCACUACUGAGCCUCCCGUGACGGCAGCAGGAGCAGCUCAGGGGCGGCAGACGUGGGCCUUGGUCUUGCUUUGUGCUUUGCUGUUCCACACCCUCACUUAUUUUUCCCUUUAAGCGUGUACCUCGGGAUGGAGAACAUUAGGGAAGAACGUUCCUCCUUGGGAUUUCACAGGAGGGUGUUUCUCAGGGCGGCAGAAGGAAGCAGCUCCCAGCACCCAAGGCGACACAUUGUCACCACAGCCCUGCUUGCAUCCGAGCCCAUUGUCAACCAAAGGAACUCGAAAAUUAUGGUCAUUUAUCUACCCCCUUCUUUACCCCCCACCGUGCCUCUUUUGGCAGGGCAGCCAAGCAGUUUGCAUUGUUUCAAGCUUAAUGCUUGCAGAUGGUUUUAUUUAGAAUUCGUUUUAUUGG